UACGAAGGGGGGCUAGCGUUGUUCGGAAUUACUGGGCGUAAAGCGCACGUAGGCGGAUUGUUAAGUCAGGGGUGAAAUCCCGGGGCUCAACCCCGGAACUGCCUUUGAUACUGGCAUUCUCGAGUCCGGAAGAGGUGAGUGGAAUUCCGAGUGUAGAGGUGAAAUUCGUAGAUAUUCGGAGGAACACCAGUGGCGAAGGCGGCUCACUGGUCCGGAACUGACGCUGAGGUGCGAAAAGCGUGGGGAGCAAACAGG
rnacentral:rRNA from 1 species